ACGCAUCGACCUGCAUGUGUUCACGCAUCGACCUGCAUGUCGUCCCUUCAGUGUGAACAUUACAUUACAUCACAUUACAUUACAUUACAUUACAGUUCAUUACAUUACAUUACAUUACAGUUCAUUACAUUACAGUUCAUUACAUUACAGUUCAUUACAUUACAUUACAUUACAGUUCAUUACAUUACAGUUCAUUACAUUACAUUACAUUACAUUACAUUACAGUUCAUUACAUUACAGUUCAUUACAUUACAUUACAUUACAUUACAGUUCAUUACAUUACAUCACAUUACAGUUCAUUACAUUACAGUUCAUUACAUUACAUUACAUUACAUUACAGUUCAUUACAUUACAGUUCAUUACAUUACAUUACAGUUCAUUACAUUACAUUACAGUUCAUUACAUUACAGUUCAUUACAUUACAUUACAUUACAGUUCAUUACAUUACAUUACAGUUCAUUACAUUACAGUUCAUUACAUUACAUUACAGUUCAUUACAUUACAGUUCAUUACAGUUCAUUACAUUACAGUUCAUUACAUUACAUUACAUUACAGUUCAUUACAUUACAGUUCAUUACAUUACAUUACAGUUCAUUACAUUACAGUUCAUUACAUUACAUUACAUUACAGUUCAUUACAUUACAGUUCAUUACAGUUCAUUACAUUACAUUACAGUUCAUUACAUUACAGUUCAUUACAGUUCAUUACAUUACAUUACAGUUCAUUACAUUAUAUUACAUCACAUUACAUUACAUUACAGUUCAUUACAUUACAUCACAUUACAUUACAUUACAUCACAUCACAUUACAUUACAUUACAGUUCAUUACAUUACAUUACAUUACAUUACAGUUCAUUACAUUACAUUACAUUACAGUUCAUUACAUUACAUCACAUUACAUUACAUUACAUUACAGUUCAUUACAGUUCAUUACAUCACAUUACAUUACAGUUCAUUACAUUACAGUUCAUUACAUUACAGUUCAUUACUUUACAUUACAUUACAGUUCAUUACAUCACAUUACAUUACAUUACUUUACAUUUAUCUGAGGCUUUUGUCCAAAGAGACAAAAAGUGCAAACAAUCCUGGAGAUACGACUCCGAACAGCAAGAAUCUUGUAAGAACAAUAUCUUCAAACACAGUCGUAUCAGUGAACUCUGUCUUCAAACAGCCAGUUUGAAGUGCAACAUACAGAAACAAUAGAAUACAAAUUCAACUAUUCGCUAUAAACAAGCCAAACCAAUACAAGUGCAACAUACAAAGAACAGUUGUGAGUGUUCAGUCUGCAGGUGUGAAGACUGUCUGCUGUCCUCACAUCAAUGGGGAGGUCGUUCCACCAUGUUGGAGCAGGACAGCAAACAGGCGGUUUUGUUUGAGGGGAAUCUGGAUCCCACUCACAGUGAGGGAGCGGCGAGCCGAUUGGUCGACGCAGAGCGAAGUGAACGCGCUGGGGUGUCUGGUUGGACCAUGGCCUGGAUGUAGGAAGGGGCUGAUCCAUUCACAGCACGGUGGACCAGCACCAGAGUCUUGAAGCAGAUUUGGGCCGCCACUGGUCGCCAGUGAAGGGAGCAGAGAAGCGGUGUAGUGUGGGAGA
ensembl:lncRNA